rnacentral:rRNA from 1 species
GACGAACGCUGGCGGCGUGCCUAAUACAUGCAAGUAGAACGCACAGUUUAUACCGUAGCUUGCUACACCAUAGACUGUGAGUUGCGAACGGGUGAGUAACGCGUAGGUAACCUGUCUGGUAGCGGGGGAUAACUAUUGGAAACGAUAGCUAAUACCGCAUAAUAUUAAUUAUUGCAUGAUAAUUAAUUGAAAGGUGCAAUUGCACCACUACCAGAUGGACUUGCGUUGUAUUAGCUAGUAGGUGAGGUAACGGCUCACCUAGGCGACGAUACAUAGCCGACAUGCGAGGGUGAUCGGCCACACUGGGACUGAGACACGCCCCAGACUCCUACGGGAGGCAGCAGUAGGGAAUCGUCGGCAAUGGACGAAAGUCUGACCGCGCAACGCCGCGUGAGUGAAGAAGGUUUUCGGAUCGUAAAGCUCUGUUGUAAGAGGAGAACGGGUGUGCGAGUGGAAAGUUCACACUGUGACGGUAUCUUACCAGAAAGGGACGGCUAACUACGUG